GACAGAGGGUGCAAACGUUGUUCGGAAUUACUGGGCGUAAAGAGUGUGUAGGCGGUCCACUAAGUCGGGUGUGAAAGCCCUGGGCUCAACCCAGGAAGUGCACUCGAAACUGGCGGGCUAGAGUAUCGGAGAGGAUGGUGGAAUUCUCGGUGUAGAGGUGAAAUUCGUAGAUAUCGAGAGGAACACCGGUGGCGAAGGCGGCCAACUGGACGAAAACUGACGCUGAGACACGAAAGCGUGGGGAGCAAACAGG
rnacentral:rRNA from 1 species